CACGUAGGAGGCGAGCGUUGUCCGGAAUCAUUGGGCGUAAAGAGCGCGCAGGCGGCUUGGCAAGUCGGGUGUGAAAUCCCGGGGCUCAACCCCGUGACUGCAUCCGAUACUGUCAGGCUAGAGGUAGGUAGGGGAGAUCGGAAUUCCUGGUGUAGCGGUGAAAUGCGCAGAUAUCAGGAGGAACACCGGUGGCGAAGGUGGUUCUCUGGGCAUGAUCUGACGCUGAGGAGCGAAAGUGUGGGGAGCGAACAGG
rnacentral:rRNA from 1 species